rnacentral:rRNA from 1 species
AUUGAACGCUGGCGGCAGGCCUAACACAUGCAAGUCGAGCGGUAGCACAGAGAGCUUGCUCUCGGGUGACGAGCGGCGGACGGGUGAGUAAUGUCUGGGAAACUGCCUGAUGGAGGGGGAUAACUACUGGAAACGGUAGCUAAUACCGCAUAAUGUCGCAAGACCAAAGUGGGGGACUUUCGGGCCUCAUGCCAUCAGAUGUGCCCAGAUGGGAUUAGCUAGGAGGUGGGGUAACGGCUCACCUAGGCGACGAUCCCUAGCUGGUCUGAGAGGAUGACCAGCCACACUGGAACUGGGACACGGUCCAGACUCCUACGGGAGGCAGCAGUGGGGAAUAUUGCACAAUGGGCGCAAGCCUGAUGCAGCCAUGCCGCGUGUGUGAAGAAGGCCUUCGGGUUGUAAAGCACUUUCAGCGGGGAGGAAGGCGGUGAAGUUAAUAACUUCACCGAUUGACGUUACCCGCAGAAGAAGCACCGGCUAACUCCGUGCCAGCCGCCGCCGUAA